AGCAUAUUCACAUAUGAAAGAGCCAGCACGAAUGGGAUCCCAAGAACGUAAACCCCAACCACGGUUCGCCGUCUUAAACACUUCCAUGCGGAACUUAAGUCCUGUCUGAAUCACUUUGUUUUUGCAACUGGGGUUACACGGACAGGUUGAACCACAUUCAUAUACCAUUGGCCUCCUGGAAACAAGCAUAACGCCAUUAAGGUAAGGAAGAUCACCACCAUUCAUUCUGAUGCAAGAGCAAUUUAGAUCUCCCGGCGCACACAAGCCACGGCAGGAGCAACCAGUUGCUGUGUGCUGCUGGGUUAUUCUAAAGGCUUCCGAGUGUUUGAGAGUGGAGAUGUAAGUGAAAUAAGAAGGCCCCUUCUCAUCAUCAAAGUCAUUCACAAGCGAGACAGGUUUGCUCUCAACACCUGAAGUGAUAUCCGGAAGGAACACUUCCAUGCGGAACUUAAGUCCUGUCUGAAUCACUUUGUUUUUGCAACUGGGGUUACACGGACAGGUUGAACCACAUUCAUAUACCAUUGGCCUCCUGGAAACAAGCAUAACGCCAUUAAGGUAAGGAAGAUCACCACCAUUCAUUCUGAUGCAAGAGCAAUUUAGAUCUCCCGGCGCACACAAGCCACGGCAGGAGCAACCAGUUGCUGUGUGCUGCUGGGUUAUUCUAAAGGCUUCCGAGUGUUUGAGAGUGGAGAUGUAAGUGAAAUAAGAAGGCCCCUUCUCAUCAUCAAAGUCAUUCACAAGCGAGACAGGUUUGCUCUCAACACCUGAAGUGAUAUCCGGAAGGAUAAGUCCUCUUCUUGGAGUCAUCAAACCUUCUUUCCACUUAUGAACAGCUUUCCAGAACCCAAAAGCAGGUGGCUGACCAG
rnacentral:lncRNA from 1 species